GACGGAGGGCGCAAGCGUUGUUCGGAAUUACUGGGCGUAAAGCGCGGGCAGGCGGUCUGUUAAGUCGUUUGUGAAAACCCGGGGCUCAACCCCGUGGAAUGCAGACGAUACUGGCAGCCUAGAGACCAGUAGGGGCUAGCGGAAUUCCUGGUGUAGCGGUGGAAUGCGUAGAUAUCAGGAAGAACACCUGUGGCGAAGGCGGCUAGCUGGGCUGGAUCUGACGCUAAUCCGCGAGAGCGUGGGGAGCAAACAGG
rnacentral:misc_RNA from 1 species